UACGUAGGCAGCGAGCGUUGUUCGGAGUUACUGGGCGUAAAGAGUGCGUAGGCGGUUUUCUAAGUUUGGUGUGAAAUCUCCCGGCUUAACUGGGAGGGUGCGCCGAAAACUGGAAGGCUUGAGUAUGGGAGAGGUAAGCGGAAUUCCUGGUGUAGCGGUGAAAUGCGUAGAUAUCUGGAGGAACACCGGUGGCGAAGGCGGCGUCCUGGACCAACACUGACACUGAGGAGCGAAAGCCAGGGGAGCAAACGGG
rnacentral:rRNA from 1 species